ACGGGAGGCAGCAGUAGGGAAUUUUCGGCAAUGGACGCAAGUCUGACCGAGCAACGCCGCGUGAACGAAGAAGUUAUUCGUAAUGUAAAGUUCUUUUAUUAGGGAAGAAAAAACAAAUUGACGGUACCUAAUGAAUAAGCUCCGGCUAACUACGUGCCAGCAGCCGCGGUAAUACGUAGGGAGCGAGCGUUAUCCGGAAUUAUUGGGCGUAAAGGGUGCGUAGAUGGCAUAUUAAGUUUCUUGUUAAACUGCUGGGCUCAACCCAGUAUUGCAAGAGAUACUGAUAAGCUAGAGUACGAGAGAGGCAAGUGGAAUUCCAUGUGUAGCGGUAAAAUGCGUAAAUAUAUGGCAGAACACCAGUGGCGAAGGCGGCUUGCUAGCUCGAUACUGACAUUGAGGCACGAAAGCGUGGGGAGCAAACAGGAUUAGAUACCCUGGUA
rnacentral:rRNA from 1 species